CACCCACCACCCACGCACAAAACCAUAACUGCAAGGAACACCCUCUCUCCUUCCCCCUUCGCUCCCCACCGGUCUGUUUUUCUCAGCAGAUGAAAAAUUCCUGGAGAUCUGGUGGUCGCCCCCGUGUUUGGCUUUUGAGACCCAAGGGGUUGGGUACCUUUUAGGCUCACAGCACGGCAAGCUCUGUUUGCAGAUGCAUUGCCAUAGUUUUGCAUUUGCUUGUAAUUACACAUGUGCAGGUGGGAAGGGGCUGUUUGCCUCCCACUGCCACGAUGUGCCUUCCUUCCUUCCACUCCCGCUCCCAGCCUCCCACGCAUCCAGCGAUGAGAAACGCUGCAGAAGACUGACCAGCCACCAGCCCGCCCACCCGAGGAGGAGGAGCAGCAGCAGCAGUACAUUUCUCUCUCUGCUUUUUAAACACAGUUAAAAAGAGCUGCAGCGUGGGUGGAAAUAGCUGUAGGGAGAGCAUGUGGGAAUGGGGCCAGGGGAAAGUGAAUUUUCUGUUGGUAGGACAGUUACUUCUAGUAGACUAGAAAAAAAAUACUUAAGGAUAACUUGCUGCCGAGUGUGUCUUUAGGCAUACAAUUAGUUCUUAGGGUUGAGUUUCCCUGGACUGGAAAGAAUGAAAUGGUAUUUAUUUUUCCCUGGUAGUCAAAGUGGCAGCCAGCGCUCCGCACUCAGAGAAGCUUGCCUAUAAGCCUCCAGGAGGCUGCAUAGCAAGGGAUAGUUGUGCUACAUCCUGUUGUGUCAUCCUGUCUCCUGUUCUGCUCCUGCUGUAUGUGCCUGAUUCGACCUUCCUUCUCUCUUCACUUGCUCCGUCUGUGACAGCAGCCAGCCUGGAAUGGAGUUUCAUGCUGCUCAGAGCAGUAGGUAGGAAUCUAUAAUUAUUUCAGAAAUAACAUGUUACACAGUGUGAUUUAGUCAUACUUUGACACACCUCUGUCUGCCAAGAAAUAGGCAGGCACUACCUUAUAAAGCUGUUGCUGAGAGCAAUCCUUCAGGCUCAGGGAGCACAAAGCUGCUUCAUUGUAUGGAUAGCUGCAGGAGUCAGCAGCAGGGUUUGGGGCUGGGGCCUGCAGAGACCUUAAAGCACGCAAAUCUGUUGCCUGAAUUAGAGGUUGUGCUCCUGCCUAGGGGAUGUAUCCCCAUGCAGAAAUAGCUCAGGACAUAAGCUGGUAAAUUUAAGACUGUUUGGAAAGUGAUUUUAUUUCCAUUUCCAGCCUUUAAAAAGCAU
ensembl:lncRNA